UACGUAGGUGGCAAGCGUUAUCCGGAUUUACUGGGUGUAAAGGGCGUGUAGGCGGGUGUUCAAGUCGGAUGUGAAAAGGCAAGGCUCAACUUUGCUCGGUCAUCCGAAACUGGAUAUCUUGAGUGUCUGAGGGGAAAGCGGAAUUCCUGGUGGAGCGGUAAAAUAGCGUAGAGAUCAGGAGGAACACCGGCGGCGAAGGCGGCUUUCUGGCAGACAACUGACGCUGAGGCGCGAAAGCGUGGGGAGCAAACAGGAUUAGAUACCCUGGUAGU
rnacentral:rRNA from 1 species